rnacentral:rRNA from 1 species
GACGUAGGGCGCGAGCGUUGUCCGGAUUUAUUGGGCGUAAAGAGCUCGUAGGCGGCUUGUUGCGUCGUCCGUGAAAUCCCAUGGCUCAACUGUGGGCUUGCGGUCGAUACGGGCAGGCUUGAGUUCGGUAGGGGAGACUGGAAUUCCUGGUGUAGUGGUGAAAUGCGUAGAGAUCAGGAAGAACACCCGUGGCGCAAGCGGCCACCUGGCCAAGAGCUGACGCUGAGGCACGAGAGCGUGGGGAGCGAACCGG